AGUUUCGAAUCAUUCACAAUGGGCGAAAGCCUGAUGGUGCGACGCCGCGUGAGGGAUGAAGGCCUUCGGGUUGUAAACCUCUGUCACCGGGGAAGAAACGUCAUAUGUUAAGAGCAUAUGGCCUGACUUAACCCGGAGAGGAAGCAGUGGCUAACUCUGUGCCAGCAGCCGCGGUAAUACAGAGACUGCAAGCGUUAUUCGGAUUCACUGGGCGUAAAGGGUGCGCAGGCGGCCAGGUGUGUCAGGUGUGAAAUCCCGGGGCUUAACCCCGGAACUGCGCCUGAAACUAUUUGGCUAGAGUAUCGGAGAGGGUAGCGGAAUUCACGGUGUAGCAGUGAAAUGCGUAGAUAUCGUGAGGAACACCAGAGGCGAAGGCGGCUACCUGGACGAUGACUGACGCUCAGGCACGAAAGCGUGGGGAGCAAAAGGGAUUAGAUACCCCUGUAGUCCACGCCCUAAACGGUGCAUACUAGGUCUUGGAGGAUUCGAUCCCUUCAGGGCCCAAGCUAACGCGUUAAGUAUGCCGCCUGAGGACUACGGCCGCAAGGCUAAAACUCAAAGGAAUUGACGGGGGCCCGCACAAGCGGUGGAGUAUGUGGCUUAAUUCGAUGCAACGCGAAGAACCUUACCUGGCCUUGGCAUGCUUUGGACCGGCGCUGAAAGGCGCCUUCUCUUCGGAGCCGGAGCACAGGUGCUGCAUGGCUGUCGUCAGCUCGUGUCGUGAGAUGUUGCGUUAAGUCGCGCAACGAGCGCAACCCCUGUCCUUAGUUGCCAGCAUUCAGUUGGGCACUCUAGGGAGACAAACCCUCUUUGAGGGUGGGAAGGUGGGGAUGACGUCAAGUCAGGAUGGCCCUUACGGCCAGGGCUGCACACGUACUACAAUGCCUGACACAGAGGGAUGCAAUACCGCGAGGUGGAGCAAAUCCUGAAAAUCAGGCCCAGUUCGGAUUGUAGUCUGCAACUCGACUACAUGAAGUUGGAAUCGCUAGUAAUGGCGCAUCAGCUACGGCGCCGUGAAUACGUUCCCGGGCCUUGUACACACCGCCCGUCACAUCAUGAAAGCCGGUUUUGCCCGAAGUAUGUUUGCCAACCAGCAAUGGGGGCGGCGUCCUAAGGUGAGGCUGGUGAUUGGGAUGAAGUCGUAACAAGGUAACCGUA
rnacentral:rRNA from 1 species